UACGGGGGGAGCAAGCGUUGUUCGGAUUUACUGGGCGUAAAGGGCGCGUAGGCGGCCACUGCAAGUCAGUUGUGAAAUCUCCGGGCUUAACCCGGAAAGGUCAACUGAUACUGCAGGGCUAGAGUGCAGAAGGGGCAACUGGAAUUCUCGGUGUAGCGGUGAAAUGCGUAGAUAUCGAGAGGAACACCUGCGGCGAAGGCGGGUUGCUGGGCUGACACUGACGCUGAGAGACGAAAGCUAGGGGAGCAAAUGGG
rnacentral:rRNA from 1 species